UACGAAGGGGGCUAGCGUUGCUCGGAAUCACUGGGCGUAAAGGGCGCGUAGGCGGCAAAUUAAGUCAGCUGUGAAAUCUCCGAGCUUAACUCGGAACGGUCAGCUGAUACUGAUCUGCUAGAGUGCGGAAGGGGCAAUCGGGAAUUCUUGGUGUAGCGGUGAAAUGCGUAGAUAUGCGGAGGAACACCGAUGGCGAAGGCAAUCCCCUGGGCCUGCACUGACGCUCAUGCACGAAAGCGUGGGGAGCAAACAGG
rnacentral:rRNA from 1 species